GCCACUGCUAUUGGGGUUCGGCUAAGCCAUGCGAGUGGAGGGCGUCCCGCAAGGGAUGGCCCCGCAGACGGCUCAGUAACACGUCGUCAACCCACCUUAGGGUGGGGGACAACCUCGGGAAACUGAGGAUAAUCCCCCAUAGGCGGGGGAGGCUGGAAUGCGCCCCCGCUGAAAGCUCAGGCGCCCUAGGACGGGACGGCGGCCUAUCAGGUAGUUGGUGUG
rnacentral:rRNA from 1 species